AGGUGGGGUAGCUCAGAGGUAGAGCGGAGGACUCAUAAUCCUCAUGUCGUUGGUUCGAUUCCUUCCCCCACCACCA
rnacentral:tRNA from 2 species